rnacentral:piRNA from 1 species
UUAUUGUACAACAUAUGUAGAGUCCUAUCC